UGGAGUCACUAUUUAUCAAUGUCUAUAAUAAUUAAAAAUACUUUAAAAUAAAUAUUUCUAUUUCAUGAUUUAUUGUAGAUAUUUUGUGAGUGCAGUUGACUGAAAUUUAAAUAUUAAUUAUUACAGAUGAUUCUACCAGCUUUCUAAAGGUUGUGAAAAAUCUGGAAAUACUUGAAUGGAAACAAAGCUACGACGAUAUUGUAAUAACAUUUUUCAAUUAUACCAAAGAGCAAGCAUUUGAUAAGGAUGAUCCUCCAAAGUCUCCAUACCAAUAUUGUUCUGAUCUCCGUAAGCAAAGAAAAAUAUAAAAAUUUAAAUCUCAGAAAUGUGUUUUUUUUAUAUAAUAUUCUAUGACGCGUAUGUUAUACAUAAUAAUAUAUAGGUAUA